rnacentral:rRNA from 1 species
UGGGGAAUCUUGGACAAUGGGCGCAAGCCUGAUCCAGCCAUGCCGCGUGAGUGAAGAAGGCCUUCGGGUUGUAAAGCUCUUUUACCAGGGACGAUAAUGACGGUACCUGGAGAAUAAGCCCCGGCAAACUUCGUGCCAGCAGCCGCGGUAAUACGAAGGGGGCUAGCGUUGUUCGGAAUUACUGGGCGUAAAGCGCACGUAGGCGGAUUAUUAAGUCAGGGGUGAAAUCCCGGGGCUCAACCUCGGAACUGCCUCUGAUACUGAUAGUCUCGAGUCCGGAAGAGGUGGGUGGAAUUCCUAGUGUAGAGGUGAAAUUCGUAGAUAUUAGGAAGAACACCGGUGGCGAAGGCGGCCCACUGGUCCCAAACUGACGCUGAGGUACGAAAGCGUGGGUAGCAAACAGGAUUAGAUACCCAUGUAGUCCCUGAGCGGGCUGGCAAGGCGCAU